UACGUAGGGUGCAAGCGUUGCCCGGAUUUAUUGGGCGUAAAGGGCGCGUAGGCGGUCACGCACGUCCGUUGUGAAAGCCCCCGGCUCAACUGGGGAGGGUCACGCGAUACUGGUCGACUCGAAGGCAGGAGAGGGUAGUGGAAUUCCCGGUGUAGUGGUGAAAUGCGUAGAUAUCGGGAGGAACACCAGUGGCGAAGGCGACUACCUGGCCUGUUCUUGACGCUGAGGCGCGAAAGCUAGGGGAGCAAACGGG
rnacentral:rRNA from 1 species